rnacentral:rRNA from 1 species
UCGGGAAUUUUGGGCAAUGGGCGAAAGCCUGACCCAGCAACGCCGCGUGAGGGAUGAAGUAUUUCGGUAUGUAAAACUCGAAAGAAGGGGAAGAAUAAAUGACGGUACCAUUUAUAAGCUCCGGCUAACUACGUGCCAGCAGCCGCGGUAAAACGUAGGAGGCAAGCGUUAUCCGGAGUUACUGGGCGCAAAGCGCGCGCAGGCGGUUCGUUAAGUGGGGCGUGAAAGCCCUGCGCUAAACGCGGGGAGGACGAACCAUACUGAUGGACUGGGGUGGAGCAGAGGGACAUGGAAUUCCGGGUGUAGCGGUGAAAUGUGCCGAUAUCCGGAGGAACACCAGAGGUGAAAACGGUGUCCUGGGCUCACACUGACGCUGAGGCGCGAAAGCGUGGG